UGCCCCACUCGGCCACCCCCGCGCGAUGGCCGCGUCCCCAUCCCACGUCUCUCUCCCUACCUGCCAUUCUCCGCAAACGAAGCAACGACGCGGCCACCUCCCUCUCCACCACACGCGGCGACGGCACCCCUCCCUCUCCCGUGUGUGGCGGUGGAGCCCCUACCUCUCCACCAUGUGCAGCGGCGGCGGUGCCCCCCUCCCUCUCCAGCGCGCCCGUGUGGAAGCAGGACGCGGAGGCGAAGGGAAGGACGCGCUGUUCGUCGAGUUGUGGAAGGCCUGCGCGGGGCCGCUGUCCUGCGUGCCGCCGCUCGGGCAGAAGGUCUACUACCUCCCGCAGGGCCACAUCGAGCAGGCAAGUUGUUAGAGGCGACGUGCCAGAUGGCCGGGCUCUUCGGUCAGCGAUCACGAUUCGCGAGCUGCCAGUAGACGGAGAAAGGAUCUGUUGAUCUCCACGACACCGAAAGACGAACGAACGGCAGGAGGAGGGGGAGCCGUCCACAUUAUAUUUUAAAAAACAUACAUGCCUAUUUUAAUUACAUUAGAUACGUAUCUAAUAUGUAUUUCUUUGAUUUCAGUGGUUUAUAUUGUAUGUUGUUUUCAAGUCAUAUUCACCAAUGAUUGCUAUGUGUUUGCACUGUGCCCUUUCGCAGGACCUCAAUUUCAGAUGAAUUUAAAAGACAAGGAGUACUAAUUUAUAUACGGUUAUAUUUCUUCUGUUAAUCUUAUAGGAUAACACUAAUUGGAUGUUACUAUGCAUAAACUUAUAUAUCAAUGAUUUAUGGUUUUAAUACAGUAUAGGAGUAUAGAAUUAGAAGAGUUGUUUCCCUCACGUUUUCACAUUGUUCUCCUUUUAUGGUAUGUCACUUGCAAAACAUUGGAAUAGAUACAACAUUGGCAACAAUGGUGAGGGACAAGCAUGUUAAAUUUACACUGAAAUUUGAGUAUGGAUUUGGCUAUGAGUAAACAAGCAGGUGACAACAGUACCUUUGUGCUCUACAUUAAUAUAUAGUGGAAUUGAUAGAUUUCACAAAAGUAUGGUUAGUUGAAAUAGUGUUGAUCUUAUCCAUCUAUAUUGUGGUUUCUUCUAUUUAUUAUGGGUUGACCUUGUUUAAAAAGAGUACCUUGAAUUAAUGUUGUAUACAAGGGAAAGGGAGUGGUGUUCUUCAAUUUCUCAUCCGAGUGUUCUUCAAUUUCUCAUCCGAGUGUUCUUCAAGUCCCAUGCAUAUAUUAAUAAGCACUUGCUAAUGUGCUUCACAACUGGUUAUGCAUGCAGCCUCUUCAUGCUUUGAAGGAUACAUCUUCAAUCUUUCAAAUAUUAUGAUACUGACAAUGACGUUAACAGACAAUAUAUUGUUAAAGGAGGUGCUCGCACGGAGGAGGACCUCAACGUGGUGGGCAUACUUUGCAGGUCUCCUGUUCUUCAGCUGAAGAUCAUACUUGCUGUGGAGCCUUUGAUCCCUUCAGAGGGACCAAGGAUUGGAGAGCACAUUUUCGGUUACAUGGAUUGCAGACAGAGCACACAUCUGGACCGAGUAUGUUUCCAAGAGACCUUCUGGAGUUGUUGCCAUGAUUUUGGGCAUUGAUGAUGAGAAAGGAACUCCACAACUCUUUACAUGUGAUCCUGCUGGGUAUUUCUUCGGUCACAAGAUUGUAGAUCAGCUCUGUCUGUGUUUGUCACCUUGGAACACAGAAUCCCUACUACUCUCCCCCCCCAUAAGAAAGAGCUUGCUAGCUUGGUGGCCCUCACAGAUCAAGUCGGUUAUGCAAUUUGUAUAGGAAUAAAUAAUUGAAGAAGAUGCAGUGAAAUUUGUUUGCCGAGAAGCUAAGCAGAUGCACUGAAGUCAUCUUGUGUCAUUCCAUAUCAUGCUACAUUGCCCUAACCUGCACUGCUUUCAUUGAUUUAGACGCUUUUUAAUUUGUUGCAUCGUUUGAAUUGUAAGACCUUGUGAUAUUUUCUGAAGAUUUGUAUAAGUUUGUAAUUUAUUGUGAUAGUCUUAGCAUUUAAAUGAUACAAUUGACAUGACAUUAUUAAAAUCAUAAAUAGAAGUAUGUAUGAUACUGAUGGUUA